rnacentral:rRNA from 1 species
CGUAAAGUCCCACGUUCGGAUUGAAGGCUGAAAUUACGCCUUCCAUGAAGCCGGAAUUGCUAGUAAUGGCAGGUCAGCAUACUGCCGUGAAUACGUUCCCGGGCCUUGUACACACCGCCCGUCACACCAUGAGAGUUGGGAAUACCCGAAGCCUGUGAGCUAACUUUUAGAGGCAGCAGUCGAAGGUAGAAUCAAUGAUUGGGGUGAAGUCGUAACAAGGUACC